rnacentral:rRNA from 1 species
GACGAACGCUGGCGGCGUGCUUAACACAUGCAAGUCGAACGGAAAGGCCCUGCUUUUGUGGGGUGCUCGAGUGGCGAACGGGUGAGUAACACGUGAGUAACCUGCCCUUGACUUCGGGAUAACUUCAGGAAACUGGGGCUAAUACCGGAUAGGAGCUCCUGCUGCAUGGUGGGGGUUGGAAAGUUUCGGCGGUUGGGGAUGGACUCGCGGCUUAUCAGCUUGUUGGUGGGGUAGUGGCUUACCAAGGCUUUGACGGGUAGCCGGCCUGAGAGGGUGACCGGCCACAUUGGGACUGAGAUACGGCCCAGACUCCUACGGGAGGCAGCAGUGGGGAAUAUUGCACAAUGGGCGGAAGCCUGAUGCAGCAACGCCGCGUGCGGGAUGACGGCCUUCGGGUUGUAAACCGCUUUCGCCUGUGACGAAGCGUGAGUGACGGUAAUGGGUAAAGAAGCACCGGCUAACUACGUA